UUGUGUGGGCUGAAAUGGCAUUACCUGACAGCUAGCAGUCUGUUUGAGUCAAACCAAUGACAGGGGUCGCGCCAUCUUUCUACGCCGAUGAUGUAACAUGAGUCCAUGGCAUCUCAAAAAUCGCACAAGACCAUAGCGGAAACAGGCCUGCUCCUCACCAAAAGAAACAGCAUGGCCUCUAUCAAAAGAGAGAAAAAUGUUUUCUGCAUCUGAGAGGAAUAUAACCCUAACAAUGGAAACUCAAAGUUGCCCCUGUGGAUUUUUUUUUUUUUUAUCUUACUGUGAAUGUUCAAGCUGCAAAUAUAGAUGACUGCGUUUUCCACUCCGGCACAUAAUAAAGUCUGCAUAUAUAUCUACAUAUAUUUCUGCUGUAAUUUCAACCAUCCUUCAAGGGACUAUGUGCGACCAGGUAAUUUCAAAGUACUGUAUCAUAUCACACCAAGCAUCAAGUGGAUCAUAGAACAAAUGAACCUUUGAAUUGACAGUUUCAUUUUGAUGGGUGUAUUUACAAUUUUGAUUGCCAAUGUUCAAGGAAUGAUAAAG